UACGUAGGGUGCAAGCGUUAAUCGGAAUUACUGGGCGUAAAGCGUGCGCAGGCGGUUUUGUUAGUCAGAUGUGAAAUCCCCGGGCUUAACCUGGGAACUGCGUUUGAAACUACAAGGCUAGAGUGUGGCAGAGGGGGGUGGAAUUCCACGUGUAGCAGUGAAAUGCGUAGAGAUGUGGAGGAACACCGAUGGCGAAGGCAGCCCCCUGGGUUAACACUGACGCUCAGGCACGAAAGCGUGGGGAGCAAACAGG
rnacentral:rRNA from 1 species